rnacentral:rRNA from 1 species
UGGGGAAUAUUGGACAAUGGGCGCAAGCCUGAUCCAGCAAUGCCGCGUGUAUGAAGAAGGCCUUCGGGUUGUAAAGCACUUUUAUCAGGAGCGAAACGCUGUCGGCUAAUACCCGGCGGAACUGACGGUACCUGAGGAAUAAGCACCGGCUAACUUCGUGCCAGCAGCCGCGGUAAUACGAAGGGUGCAAGCGUUAAUCGGAAUUACUGGGCGUAAAGCGUGCGUAGGCGGUUUCUUAAGUCUGCUGUGAAAUCCCCGGGCUCAACCUGGGAAUGGCAGUGGAUACUGGGAGGCUAGAGUGUGUCAGAGGGUGGUGGAAUUCCCGGUGUAGCGGUGAAAUGCGUAGAGAUCGGGAGGAACAUCAGUGGCGAAGGCGGCCACCUGGGACAACACUGACGCUGAGGCACGAAAGCGUGGGGAGCAAACAGGAUUAGAUACCCUGGUAGUCCACGCCCUAAAGCGAUGCGAACUGGAUGUUGGUCUCAACUCGGAGAUCAGUGUCGAAGCUAACGCGUUAAGUUCGCCGCCUGGGGAGU